ACAUUAUUAUCACAUUAUUAUUAGGACUUCAGUUUUCUUGAUAUGUAUGCAUAACAUGGCUGGUGGCCUAAUGACUGGAUCUCACUCUUGAAAUGCAUUUCAUUUAUCUGUCGGAAGUAUUCUGAGACAGAAAGAGAUGUACCCCCAAAAUUUCUCUUGAUCAAUGAGCGCAUCAACUUUGUGGUGACAAUAAUGAGAUAAUAUUGGAUUACGUUUCGGGAGUGAGAACCAGUGAUUAGGCCAGUGCUGCCUUCAAUGAAGAAAUAAUCCAAGACUAUCAAGGUUAAUUAGCUUACCUCUAGUGGCAUUAAGGUAUUCAAUAGCUAAUAAGGUGGCCAUGCAGGUUGAAAUGUCACAUGCUCAUUGGCUGGAGCUAGGAGACCUCCAUGCUACACUACUAUGAGAUAUAGCCUCUUUCUUUGUUUUCUUUCAAUGCAAUCUGCCAAAAAUAUAUUAAAAAAAAAAAAAAGAAUAAG